rnacentral:rRNA from 1 species
UGGAUUAGGCAUGCAAGUCGAGCGGUAAGGCUCCGCAAGGAGUACACGAGCGGCGUAAGGGACAGUAAUGUGUAGGUACGUACCCCUGGGUCUGGGAUAUCCGCGGGAAACUGCGAGUAAUACCAGAUAACGUCUCAGGACCAAAGGUGUGAUUCCACCUGGGGAGCGGCCUGCAUCCUAUUAGCUAGUUGGUGUGGUAAUGGCGCACCAAGGCAAAGAUGGGUAGCGGGUGUGAGAGCACGACCCGCGUCACUGGGACUGAGAACUGCCCAGACACCUACGGGUGGCUGCAGUCGAGAAUCUUCGGCAAUGAGCGCAAGCUUGACCGAGCGACGCCGCGUGCGGGAUGAAGGCCUUCGGGUUGUAAACCGCUGUCGUAGGGGACGAAAUUCCAGUGGGUUCUCCCAUUGGAUUGACUGAUCCUAGGAGGAAGGGUGGGCUAAGUUCGUGCCAGCAGCCGCGGUA